GAUGAACGCUGGCGGCGUGCCUAAUACAUGCAAGUCGAGCGAACGGACGUGGAGCUUGCUUCUCUGUUGUUAGCGGCGGACGGGUGAGUAACAUGUGUAUAACCUACCUAUACGACUGGGAUAUCUUCGGGAAAUCGUAGCUAAUACCGGAUAAUUUUUUGAACCGCAUGGUUCAAAAGUGAAAGACGGUCUUGCUGUAACUAAUAGAUGGUUCAGGGCUGCAUUAGCUAGUUGGUAAGGUAACGGCUUACCAAGGCAACUAUGCAUAGCCGACCUGAGAGCGUGAUCGGCCACACUGGAACUGAGAGACGGCCCAAUGACCUACAUAGGGCAGCAGUAGGUACGCUUCCGCAAUGUGCGAAAGCCUAACGGAGCAACGCGGCGUUAGCGAUGAAGGGCUGCGGAUCGUAAAACGCUGUUAGUAGUGAAGAACAUAUUUGUAAGUAACCGUGCACAUCUUGACGGGACCUAAACAGAAAACCACGGCUAACUACGG
rnacentral:rRNA from 1 species